rnacentral:tRNA from 1 species
AGAAAGAUAAGCUAAUUUAAGCUAAUGGGUUCAUACCCCAUGUAUAGAGGUCUCUUAAUCCUCUUCUUUUUA